UCUGAAGCAGUUAAACGCGCCUGCGCAACGUCCAUUUUCCUCCAGAAUGUGCGCCGGGACGAAGCAGGCUCGGGGUCGCCGACUUUUUAAAGCGCGUUUGCUUCACACUAAUCAGUUUUGCUUGGAAAUUAUCGUUGUUGAUAUGCAGAUCCAUGUGGCAUGGCUUUCCAUGAGAAAUCACAAUGGCUUUGGAAUAGGAUGACUUGAGCUGGCUGUCUAAGGACAAGUGCUCAAUCAAGAAUGAGGAGACUGAAUGCCGCUGGCUUCGAUUCAAAAUGCAUCAAGUCAUGGAUAUGGCCUGAGUGGGAUGAUUGACUGGCUUUACUGAUAAAUCUGAGGCUUUUGGAGAAGGGGAAGCUGAGCCUGACUGUGUAAAGAUGAACCUGGCGAGCCUGAUGUGAAGUUAGAGAUUGAAUCCAAUGAGCUGCAAUUCUUGAUGCAUCAAGGUGAGACUGAACAUUUUAGCUGCAUGUCAUGUGCUGUACGUACAUACAUUAGUAGUAAAUAUUGGUGACAGUUGUAAUUGUACACAUUUGAAUUUAUUCUCGGAAUAUUCAACACAAUCUUCCACUUCCUUAGAUAGAUAAUUUUUUUUUUUUUUUUUUUUUUGAAGCAUCAACAGGAUAAAUAUAUAUUCUGAAUUUGAUCAUACUGUAAUGCCUGUAAAUACUUGACAUUAAAUUGAUUUCAAUGUAUAUUUCUCCAGUUUUCAACUUGUUUGUAAUUAAACUAAUAUGAAACUGAA